rnacentral:rRNA from 1 species
UACGUAGGGGGCAAGCGUUGUCCGGAUUUAUUGGGCGUAAAGAGCGUGUAGGCGGUUAGGUAGGUCCGUUGUGAAAGACUCGAGCUCAACCUCGAGACGCCGAUGGAAACCAUCUAACUAGAGUCCGGAAGAGGAGAGUGGAAUUCCUGGUGUAGCGGUGAAAUGCGCAGAUAUCAGGAAGAACACCCGUGGCUAAGGCGGCUCUCUAGUACGGUACUGACGCUGAGACGCGAAAGCGUGGGGGAGCGAACAGG